UUGAACGCUGGCGGCAGGCCUAACACAUGCAAGUCGAACGGUAACAGGAAGCAGCUUGCUGCUUCGCUGACGAGUGGCGGACGGGUGAGUAAUGUCUGGGAAACUGCCUGAUGGAGGGGGAUAACUACUGGAAACGGUAGCUAAUACCGCAUAACGUCGCAAGACCAAAGAGGGGGACCUUCGGGCCUCUUGCCAUCGGAUGUGCCCAGAUGGGAUUAGCUAGUAGGUGGGGUAACGGCUCACCUAGGCGACGAUCCCUAGCUGGUCUGAGAGGAUGACCAGCCACACUGGAACUGAGACACGGUCCAGACUCCUACGGGAGGCAGCAGUGGGGAAUAUUGCACAAUGGGCGCAAGCCUGAUGCAGCCAUGCCGCGUGUAUGAAGAAGGCCUUCGGGUUGUAAAGUACUUUCAGCGGGGAGGAAGGGAGUAAAGUUAAUACCUUUGCUCAUUGACGUUACCCGCAGAAGAAGCACCGGCUAACUCCGUGCCAGCAGCCGCGGUAAUACGGAGGGUGCAAGCGUUAAUCGGAAUUACUGGGCGUAAAGCGCACGCAGGCGGUUUGUUAAGUCAGAUGUGAAAUCCCCGGGCUCAACCUGGGAACUGCAUCUGAUACUGGCAAGCUUGAGUCUCGUAGAGGGGGGUAGAAUUCCAGGUGUAGCGGUGAAAUGCGUAGAGAUCUGGAGGAAUACCGGUGGCGAAGGCGGCCCCCUGGACGAAGACUGACGCUCAGGUGCGAAAGCGUGGGGAGCAAACAGGAUUAGAUACCCUGGUAGUCCACGCCGUAAACGAUGUCGACUUGGAGGUUGUGCCCUUGAGGCGUGGCUUCCGGAGCUAACGCGUUAAGUCGACCGCCUGGGGAGUACGGCCGCAAGGUUAAAACUCAAAUGAAUUGACGGGGGCCCGCACAAGCGGUGGAGCAUGUGGUUUAAUUCGAUGCAACGCGAAGAACCUUACCUGGUCUUGACAUCCACGGAAGUUUUCAGAGAUGAGAAUGUGCCUUCGGGAACCGUGAGACAGGUGCUGCAUGGCUGUCGUCAGCUCGUGUUGUGAAAUGUUGGGUUAAGUCCCGCAACGAGCGCAACCCUUAUCCUCAGUAGCCAGCAUUUAAGGUGGGCACUCUGGGGAGACUGCCAGGGAUAACCUGGAGGAAGGUGGGGAUGACGUCAAAUCAUCAUGCCCCUUAUGAGCAGGGCUACACACGUGCUACAAUGGCGCAUACAAAGAGAAGCGACCUCGCGAGAGCAAGCGGACCUCAUAAAGUGCGUCGUAGUCCGGAUUGGAGUCUGCAACUCGACUCCAUGAAGUCGGAAUCGCUAGUAAUCGUGGAUCAGAAUGCCACGGUGAAUACGUUCCCGGGCCUUGUACACACCGCCCGUCACACCAUGGGAGUGGGUUGCAAAAGAAGUAGGUAGCUUAACCUUCGGGAGGGCGCUUACCACUUUGUGAUUCAUGACUGGGGUG
rnacentral:rRNA from 1 species